UGUCGGGGUGGCGCAAUGGUAGCGCGCGUGGCUCAUAACCAUCAGGUUGCAGGUUCAAGUCCUGCCCCCGCAACCA
rnacentral:tRNA from 1 species